GAGUUUGAUCUUGGCUCAGAUUGAACGCUGGCGGCAUGCCUUACACAUGCAAGUCGAACGGCAGCACGGGAGCUUGCUCCUGGUGGCGAGUGGCGAACGGGUGAGUAAUGCAUCGGAACGUAUCCUGGAGUGGGGGAUAACGUAGCGAAAGGAACGCUAAUACCGCAUACGUCCUACGGGAGAAAGCAGGGGACCUUCGGGCCUUGCGCUAUCAGAUGAGCCUAGGUCGGAUUAGCUAGUUGGUGGGGUAAUGGCUCACCAAGGCGACGAUCCGUAACUGGUCUGAGAGGAUGAUCAGUCACACUGGAACUGAGACACGGUCCAGACUCCUACGGGAGGCAGCAGUGGGGAAUAUUGGACAAUGGGCGAAAGCCUGAUCCAGCCAUGCCGCGUGUGUGAAGAAGGUCUUCGGAUUGUAAAGCACUUUAAGUUGGGAGGAAGGGCAGUAAGUUAAUACCUUGCUGUUUUGACGUUACCGACAGAAUAAGCACCGGCUAACUCUGUG
rnacentral:rRNA from 1 species